UACGUAGGGUGCGAGCGUUGUCCGGAAUUAUUGGGCGUAAAGCGCACGUAGGCGGAUGUGCCAGUCAGGGGUGAAAUCCCGGAGCUCAACUCCGGAACUGCCUCUGAUACAGCACGUCUUGAGUUCGAGAGAGGUGGGUGGAAUUCCUAGUGUAGAGGUGAAAUUCGUAGAUAUUAGGAAGAACACCGGUGGCGAAGGCGGCCCACUGGCUCGAUACUGACGCUGAGGUGCGAAAGCGUGGGGAGCAAACAGG
rnacentral:rRNA from 1 species